rnacentral:rRNA from 1 species
UCGUGUCGUGAGAUGUUGGGUUAAGUCCCGCAACGAGCGCAACCCUUAAGCUUAGUUGCCAUCAUUAAGUUGGGCACUCUAAGUUGACUGCCGGUGACAAACCGGAGGAAGGUGGGGAUGACGUCAAAUCAUCAUGCCCCUUAUGAUUUGGGCUACACACGUGCUACAAUGGACAAUACAAAGGGUAGCGAAACCGCGAGGUCAAGCAAAUCCCAUAAAGUUGUUCUCAGUUCGGAUUGUAGUCUGCAACUCGACUACAUGAAGCUGGAAUCGCUAGUAAUCGUAGAUCAGCAUGCUACGGUGAAUACGUUCCCGGGUCUUGUACACACCGCCCGUCACACCACGAGAGUUUGUAACACCCGAAGCCGGUGGAGUAACCUUUUGGAGCUAGCCGUCGAAG